rnacentral:lncRNA from 1 species
CUUAGAAAAUGGAGGCAAUAUCUUAUUUACAGGGAAUUUAUCCUUUACUUUGAUCAUGAAGCAUUGAGGUUUAUCAAUGGGCAACACAAACUGAAUCGGAGACAUGCCCGAUAGGUGGAAGAAUUGCAGGAGUACAAUUUUGUGAUUAAACACAAGGCUGGAGUCCACAAUAAAGUAGCAGAUGCUUUAAGUCGCAAGGUAGCCUUAUUAUAUAUUAUGCAAAUUAGAGUAGAGGGCUUUGAGCAAUUGCAGGAGUUAUAUAAAUGAGACAAAGAAUUUGGUGAAAUAUGGUCCGAAUGUGUGCAAAAUAAUUCAGUACAAGAUUACCAUAUUCAAGAUGGAUAUUUGUUCAAGAGGAGCAAAUUAUGCAUUCUUGAUUGUUCUUUACGGUAAUGGAUAAUUGAGGAGCAACAUGGGGGAGGCCUUGAAGGACACUUUAGACGAGACAAAACAAUUGAUCUUGUUGAGAACAAAUUUCAUUGGCCCAAGUUGCGAAGAGACGUGGAGAGAUAUGUACAAAGAUGCAGGACUUGCCACUUGGCCAAGAGUCGUAGUCAGAACACGGGGCUUUAUGCUCCUUUGCCAGAGCCACAGGCACCGUGGGAAGACAUUAGCAUGGAUUUCGUUGUUGGCCUUUCGAAGACAAAACAAGGAUUUGAUUCAGUCAUGGUAGUUGUUGAUCGCUUUUCGAAGAUGGCCCAUUUCGUUCCUUAUAAAACAACCAUGGACGCUAGCAAUAUUGCUUAUAUUUAUUUUUAGGAGAUUGUCAAAUUGCA